AGAGCAUCGCCUGUGCACACAGCUACUGCCCUGCAGAAGCUGUGCUGCUGAAAUCACGGAGCGUCUGCAAGAAAUGGCAGCAAACUGGGAAGAGAUCGCUAUUUUCUUUUGUUAGCCUUGCUUGGGAAGCUGAUUCCCACCCCUGCCUGGAAAACUAGAGGAACACUAAGGAGGCCAGAGGGGAGCUACUCAGGGAACCACACAGGGAAGGGCAAGCGAGGUUUGGGUGAGGAGCAAUUGCCUUUAAGUACACUUUUAUCAGUGGUUCUGUGCAGGAACAGCAAUAAGUGCAGGACAGCAACAUGUACUUGGGCUGCUGGAGUCACCCAGGCCCUGGGCAUCACACAGUGAUGUCAGUGCAAUGACACACGGGUGCCAUGAUGAUGCUUGAGCAAAUUCCACAGUUCCAUUGGAUUUUGUUUGCAAACUGACAGGGCGAAGACAGUCUCAUAGCAGAAAUGGCUUCAAGUGCAAAUUACAGGCAAAUGGAGAUAAGAGAAAACGAAAGUGAACCAUGUGCAGAAACUUCUGCUUCUGAUUCAGAGAAUCUGGCUGAGUCCUCAGGCUGCCCUUCUAUUGAUCCUCAGGAUAGGAUCAAGGAACAUAUGGUGAUGCUGCCAUAGCACUAAUAAUGGAAGAACAGGAUCCAGAAACAUUACUGAUAAAGGCAAAACCGAACGUGUACCUCAUACGUCUUCUCAGGAGAACAGUGGCAAAGCCAGCAUCUUCACCAACUCUAGGUGUUGGCUGAAAGUUACCAAUUCGAGAGCGUUUGGUGGGGUCACGUUGCAAAGUGUGUUGUAAUCAAUUAAGAAAUAUUUCAAGAGGAGGUACUGGGAAGGAGAGGACCUUGGAGAGUUUUUGAGACUGAAAGUAUGAAAAGUUUUUUUCAAGAACUUAAUCUCGAUUCACUAAAAUGCCACAUGACUUCAGAAGACCUCCUUCACUUCCUGAACUUCUGGCGGAUGAAGAGGCAUUCACUACUCAAAGGAAGUCCCAAACUGGCUGUGGAUCCAGAAGCUGGGACACAGACAACGGCACCCACAGGGACCUCACCACUCAAGCGCCCCAAGAAAGCUACCACCUGAGUCCAGGGCAGUGCUGCUCCAAGCCUGCCAGACCCUGAUCCAGCAGCAGGGAGGGAAUGGUGCCAGGCAAUAAUAACCCUUGAUUUAAUUUCUGAGAUAACAUUCACUGAGGUUUGGAUAAACCCUGUAUGUAGGAGAAUCUAUCCCUGAAAAAUCAGAGAACAGUGUUUGGAAGAUGUGAAAAGAUAAAUAUUUAGCCUUUUUUGGUAUAAGGUAAUCAGAAAUAUUUUGAAGGGAAAAUGAUGGUCCAGCCACACACCUGUCACCAGAAACUUCUAUUUCAGGAUCUGUCUGUAAGGAAAAUUGAGGUGAAAACUUAGCCAUUCA
rnacentral:lncRNA from 1 species